rnacentral:rRNA from 1 species
GUUGUUGGGUAGGGGAGCGUUCUGUAAGCCUGCGAAGGUGGCCUGUGAGGGUUGCUGGAGGUAUCAGAAGUGCGAAUGCUGACAUAAGUAACGAUAAAGCGGGUGAAAAGCCCGCUCGCCGGAAGACCAAGGGUUCCUGUCCAACGUUAAUCGGGGCAGGGUGAGUCGACCCCUAAGGCGAGGCCGAAAGGCGUAGUCGAUGGGAAACGGGUUAAUAUUCCCGUACUUGGUGUUACUGCGAAGGGGGGACGGAGAAGGCUAUGUUGGCCGGGCGACGGUUGUCCCGGUUUAAGCGUGUAGGUGUGUGUUCCAGGUAAAUCCGGUUCACUUUAACACUGAGGCGUGACGACGAGGCACUACGGUGCUGAAGCAACAAAUGCCCUGCUUCCAGGAAAAGCCUCUAAGCAUCAGGUAACAUCAAAUCGUACCCCAAACCGACACAGGUGGUCAGGUAGAGAAUACCAAGGCGCUUGAGAGAACUCGGGUGAAGGAACUAGGCAAAAUGGUGCCGUAACUUCGGGAGAAGGCACGCUGACACGUAGGUGAAGUGAUUUACUCAUGGAGCUGAAGUCAGUCGAAGAUACCAGCUGGCUGCAACUGUUUAUUAAAAACACAGCACUGUGCAAACACGAAAGUGGACGUAUACGGUGUGACGCCUGCCCGGUGCCGGAAGGUUAAUUGAUGGGGUCAGCGCAAGCGAAGCUCCUGAUCGAAGCCCCGGUAAACGGCGGCCGUAACUAUAACGGUCCUAAGGUAGCGAAAUUCCUUGUCGGGUAAGUUCCGACCUGCACGAAUGGCGUAAUGAUGGCCAGGCUGUCUCCACCCGAGACUCAGUGAAAUUGAACUCGCUGUGAAGAUGCAGUGUACCCGCGGCAAGACGGAAAGACCCCGUGAACCUUUACUAUAGCUUGACACUGAACAUUGAGCCUUGAUGUGUAGGAUAGGUGGGAGGCUUUGAAGUGUGGACGCCAGUCUGCAUGGAGCCGACCUUGAAAUACCACCCUUUAAUGUUU